CCUAGUUUCCAUACCCAACGUUUGACCGUCCGUCUUAUUCCAAAAAAUAUGAAAAAAAAUUAAAAAGACAAGUCACGUAUAAAAUAUUAAUCAUAUUUUAUCAUCUAACAACAAUAAAAAUACGAAUUAUAAAAAAAUUUCAUAUAAGACGGACAGUCAAAGUUGGACACGAAAACCCAUGGUUUGCCCUUUUU
rfam:Oryza sativa Japonica Group DNA, chromosome 8, cultivar: Nipponbare, complete sequence.